ensembl:misc_RNA Metazoa_SRP Metazoan signal recognition particle RNA
GCCAGGCAUGGUGGCUUAUGCCUGUAAUCCCAGCACUUUGGGAGGCUGAGGUGGGGGGAUCACUUGAGGUCAGGAAUUCAAGACCGGCCUGACCAACAUGGUGAAACUCCAUCUCUA